rnacentral:lncRNA from 1 species
GGAGCAGGAUCGUGGCCGUUAUUGUGGCCUGCCAGGGAGUAGUGGAGCUGUGCGGGACCCAUCGUAGGGAGUGGAGUAGUGCUGUGACCGUUACUGCGGCCUGUCAGGGAGUGAUGGAGCUGCGUAGAGUCCGCCGCAGGGAGUGGAGCAGUGUUGUCCGUGACUGUGGCCUGCCAGGGGGUCCAGACUUGUCGGUCGAAGUUUGGUUGGAGUCGGUAGCGAGGUCCGGUAUCCGUAGGAGUUUGGGCGAGGUCUUCAGUCAGAAUAGAAGACGGAGUCUGGUUUCCGUAGGAGUCCGGACGAAGUCUACU